rnacentral:lncRNA from 1 species
GUUGGAGAAAUUAAACAGCUUGCACCAGGUGGGAAACUAUGCUCACAGCCCCCAACACAUAAUGCGACCUUUCUUUCCAUUCCUUCAAGAUUAACAGGAUAGCUGGAAGUCCCGCUGGCCAUCGGACACUCGUUCAUUAGGUGCUAACUAUGUGUCAGGCACUGGGUACUGGGAUGCGAUGGUGAACAAGACAGCCACAGACCAGCUCUCCUUGGAAACUGAGCUCAGAGGUGGAAACCAACCUAAAUAAACGUAAGCACUGGAGUCUGGGUCUCCAGGGUUAACAUGAGUGCUUCGUAGGCAUGGCAGCCUACUUGAAAUCCGGGAACUGUGGGAUUUGAUGAGGAUGGGGAACGCCAAGGGAAACAGGGUACUCAGAGCACGCUGGUCAACAAGCCAACAGAACAGUGGCCUCUGUGCCCAGUAAACACGCUGGUGAGCAGCAGUGAAGUAUGACACCUAAGAUCAACUUCUGUCCUGCAUGUGUGUGUGCACAUACACAUAUCCAUAUUUCACACACACCCCCAUACAUAUGCAUACAUGGGAAAAGAAGGAGAAAGAAGACUGACUAGCAGCCGCAUGUCGAGGAGAGCAGGAUCUUAUCUUCGCAGUGUUUCCCUGUGGUAUUUACUGCCCUUGUUAUGGUCGUUGAUUCUAGAACUUGCCAGCCAGUGGGUAGAUGAGGCUGAACCAAUACAUACUGGGUCUGCAUGUGGAAGAAUGAGGCUUGCAGCCAACGGCCGUCCACAUCUCUGAUGAGGAUCAGUGGUGCCAU